GACGAACGCUGGCGGCGUGCCUAAUACAUGCAAGUCGAGCGCAGGAAGCCGACGGAACCCUUCGGGGGGAAGUCGACGGAAUGAGCGGCGGACGGGUGAGUAACACGUAAAGAACCUGCCCUCAGGUCUGGGAUAACCACGAGAAAUCGGGGCUAAUACCGGAUGGGUCAUCGGAACCCAUGGUCCGAGGAUGAAAGGCGCUUCGGCGUCGCCUGGGGAUGGCUUUGCGGUGCAUUAGCUAGUUGGUGGGGUAAUGGCCCACCAAGGCGACGAUGCAUAGCCGACCUGAGAGGGUGAUCGGCCACACUGGGACUGAGACACGGCCCAGACUCCUACGGGAGGCAGCAGUAGGGAAUCUUCCACAAUGGACGAAAGUCUGAUGGAGCAACGCCGCGUGAACGAUGAAGGCCUUCGGGUCGUAAAGUUCUGUUGUAAGGGAAGAACAAGUGCCGCAGGCAAUGGCGGCACCUUGACGGUACCUUGCGAGAAAGCCACGGCUAACUACGUGCCAGCCGCCGCUGUAACAC
rnacentral:rRNA from 1 species